CUCAUCAGAGCCUCUGGAAGUGGAUUGGUAUCCCCUCUGCUCCCAGGAAUCCAGUAAAAGUAGCAUCUCUUCCUCAAAGAUGAGCCAGCCGUCAUUUGAAGAGGAGGAAAGACUGGAUUGGGGAAGAAUCUGGGGCAAAAUGAAGCCAAAUUGAGAACGAGGAGAAAAGAAGAUGCUAAGGCCGCAGAUAAGGAGGUCUUGAGUGUUACAGCUCUUUUUGAAUUUGUCUAGCAUGCUUUCUGCUUUUUACUGGAAAGUGCCCCCCCCCAAAAAAAUAAAAACGAAUAAAUAAAAAAGAAAGAUUUAAAAAAUAAAAGAGAAA
rnacentral:lncRNA from 1 species